rnacentral:misc_RNA from 1 species
AGAGAGGAAGGAGCGGCUGGGUGGAACAUGAGCUUGGUGGGUGGGUAGGGGUGGUCGAGGGGAAGAGUAGGAUGAGUCUUGAAGGAGAGGGUCUCGAGGUCGAAGGAAAGAAUUUCGACACGGUUGCUGUAUUCUUCAAUGAAGCUGCCGACGGCGAUGCGUUGGUGGUGGUUGUGGUUGGGCGAAGGGGAGGAGGAGAAAGCCAUGGCGUAAAGAGGGUAUGGGGAUUCAUAGGUGAUAGAAUUAUCGGAUCGGAGGUGCGAUUCUUGGUUAGAGUUUUCCAUAUUUUCUCGAGACAAAAGUGAAUGGAAAUGAAUUUUCUGGGGAGCGUUUGGUUUUGAAGGGAAACUAACGGAAAGUCAAUGUCUGAAGGAGGGAAAAUUCAGCUCUACUUUCCAGUUUGUUGGAUUUUAACGCGAGACAACCUACAUUAAAC